CCCUUAGAUGUUCUGGGCUGCACGCGCACUACACUGAUGCACUCAACGAGUUUACGACCUUGCCCGAUAGGGUUGGGUAAUCUUUUUAAAAUGCAUCGUGAUGGGGAUAGAUUAUUGCAAUUAUUAAUCUUCAACGAGGAAUUCCUAGUAAGCGCGAGUCAUCAGCUCGUGCUGAUUACGUCCCUGCCCUUUGUACACACCGCCCGUCGCUCCUACCGAUUGAGUGCUCAGGUGAAUAAUUCGGACUGCAGCAAUGUUUGGAUCCCGAACGUUGCAGCGGAAAGUUUAGUGAACCUUAUCACUUAGAGGAAGGAGAAGUCGUAACA
rnacentral:rRNA from 1 species